GAGGAUAAUUGAUGAUAUUCCUUCCUAGUAGACCAGGGUUUGUAACAGUGAUGGCGACGGCAAGUUUGUUGAUAACACUGGUAUGGCAUCCGGGAUUGCCAAGUAUUAUGAUAAAGCUGCUUGCUUACAAAACAAGUAUUUGACUGGGCCACUUUGGUCUCUUCCCGGGGGGUCUCACCACAAAUGUUCAUUAAUUAAGGAUGGCAAUAAAAUUGAUUUCCCUGCUGCAACAUGGAGAUAUGCUACUGGUUAUGAGUCCCAAAUUAGGUUGGUAUAAUUUAUGGCUGUGGUUCACAGACUCCAGUAGGGAUAUUAAUGAAUACCCAAUGUCUAAAUGUAGAACAGUUUUCUUUCUUAAUGAUUAUUUAAUAUACGUAAUAAUAUUCCCAUUAAUUCUGUUGAAUUUGUUGAUACAAUCAUAGAUUUGUCUCAUGAGCAUGGCAAUUUGUUAUACCUCUUUCAACUUAGGAUACGUGGCCGCGCGAUAGGCCAUUUGAGGAGC
rnacentral:lncRNA from 1 species